ensembl:processed_transcript
GUGCCCAGUGUGAGCCCAGGCUAUGAGAGAAGCCAGGAGCAGGCAGCUUUCUGGCAGGCUGGGCUCUCAGGACGGCUCCACCCCUCACUGCAGCUGCAUCUCACCCCUUGCCUCAUGUGCUGCUAUUCACUGGGGUCCGGGAUGGGGCAAGGGAAGAGUUGGGGCCUCAGAUCCUUCAGCCCAGGCACCCCUUCAAAUCUGUGCCAUAUGUGUCCUGUGUCUCUCCCCCUCUCUGACUGAGGCAGAUCCUUCGUACCUACAACGUCCUGGACAUGAAGAACACCACAUGCCAGGACCUUCAGAUAGAAGUGAAGGUCACAGACGCUGUGGAAUAUGCAUGGAGCGCCUACGAAGACUAUGAAGACGACUAUAACAUGCCAGCCACAGAUGAUCCCAGCGUUCCCUUGCAGCCUGUCACGCCCCUGCAGCUAUUUGAGGGUCGUCGGAGCCGCCGCAGGAGGGAGGCCCCCAAGGUGGCUGAAGAGCGGGAGUCCAGAGUUCACUACACUGUGUGUAUCUGGCGCAAUGGCAAGCUGGGGCUGUCUGGCAUGGCCAUCGCAGACAUCACCCUCCUGAGUGGAUUCCACGCCCUGAGGGCUGACCUGGAGAAG